UGUCCAGGGAUGGGAAUCGAACCCACAGUGUUCCGCUUACCGGGCAGAUGCCAUGUCCACUAAGCUC